CCUACGGGAGACAGCAGUGAGGAAUAUUGGUCAAUGGCCGGAAGGCUGAACCAGCCAUGCCGCGUGAAGGUCAGUGCCCUAUGGGCGUUAAACUUCUUUUGUGCGGGAGCAAUAAUGGUCACGUGUGGCCAGACGAGAGUACCGUACGCAUAAGCAUCGGCUAACUCCGUGCCAGCAGCCGCGGUAAUACGGGGGGUGCAAGCGUUAUCAGGAUUUAUUGGGUUUAAAGGGUGCGUAGGCUGUGAGGUAAGUCAGCGGUGAAAUGCCCCCGCUCAACGGGGUGAAGUGCCAUUGAUACUGCCGUGCUGGAAUGCGGAUGCCGUGGGAGGAAUGUGUGGUGUAGCGGUGAAAUGCAUAGAUAUCACACAGAACACCGAUUGCGAAGGCAUCUCACGAAUCCGCGAUUGACGCUGAUGCACGAAAGCGUGGGUAUCAAACAGGAUUAGAUACCCCUGUAGUC
rnacentral:rRNA from 1 species